GCAAGCUGGCGAGGCGGGGCGCGAAGUCGGCGAGGGGGUGGGUUUGGGAGAGGAGGCUGGUCGCCGGCGCGGCACGGCCGCCGCCGCCGGCGGCGUGAGCCGCGUGCGGAAUCGAUCGCGUGUGCGUGCUGCGUCGAGAGUGUGCGUGCAUGCGUCAUGGCCCGUGAGUGGAGAAUGUUGACUCACGCGCAUCGGGCCGGCGGCUUCCUUCCCCGGCGCAGCGGUGGCGGAGGAGGCGCGGCGGCGGCGGCGGCGACGACAACAUGUCCUCCGGCGAGGAAGCGGCCGUGGCGCCAUUUCACGGCACCUUCACGAAGGACAUUCUCUACGAGCUGCACAGGCGACAGCCGCACCGAUUCCACUUCAUGACCAAGUUCAACGCCAAGAGCGCCUCGUGGAAGGACUUCGAGCUGGUGGUGCUCGACGGCGAGCUGCGGGACUUCGCGCGAUGCGUGCACUGCAAGAACUUCGUCUCCUACUCGAGCAAAAAGGGCACCGGAAGCAUGCUCAGGCACCGCUGCCACGCGAAGGAGUCGUACUUCACAGCAGAGGAACACAACCGCUUUCGCGAGAUGGAGCUAUUUAUGCGGACAACGCCGCAGCCGCUGCCCAUGCUGGGCGGCUUGUCAUCGCAGUUCCUGCCGCGCAUCAAGGUGGAGCUGCCGGAGCCGCCCGAGUCGCCCCUGCGCAGGCUCAACACCGACUGCGGCGUCGGCAGCCUCAGCAACAACUGCGACGACAGCCCGCUGGACGUCCGGAUCCACCCGCGCUCGCCUAACGGCAGCGCCAGCAACGGCGGGAGAUGCGCCCGGGGCUCGGCCACCGUCGGCGGAGCGCCCAUGGUCGACAACGGGGAGGUCGAGGAGAUCGUCGCCAGCGUGGAGCUGGCCGAUGACAGCACGGGCGGUGACGUGCUCGAGGACCGCAACAACUGCACGCCCACCGGCGCAGCCGCCGGCGCAGCCAGGAUGCCGUACGCUGCGGCAGCCCGCGCGGUCGCCGAGCGGCAGCUGGUGGAGCUGCAGCGCCUGCACGCCGAGGAAGAGCACAAGCUCAAGGUCGAGCUGCUCAAGAAGCAGCACAUGGUCGCCGACCUGCAGAGGAAGUACUGGCGCAUGAAGGUCAAAGCGCUCGCGCAGAAGGCCUCGUCCGCGCCUUCCUCGUACCAUGCCUGUGAGAACAAGUCCGUCGAGGAAGAUGAGUCGGACUCGCCGGACUGACGGGACGGAUGGCCUAGUGUGACCCCCUCCCCCACCCCCGGGCUUCUCCAGUUUUGUGGGUGUUUGUGUGUGUGUUCGUGCGUGUGUGUACAUAGUCGAUACGUUGUGAUUUCUAUCUUCCACGGAGUGCCAUGCGAACAUACGACUUUUGCUCAUGCUCAUGUCUGGUCAUAAUUGUGAAAGCGCCGCUGUUUAUCUUAUUCCUUUUAUCUCUAUCUGCCUCUUCCUUAUCCAUUUGUCACUAGCGCUUUAUUUGGCAGUAGCACCACGUGCUCUAUGCUUCGUUUGGUUCAGUUAUGAAUGCCGUGUGAUCCGAAGAGCACGGGGGCACGUUCUGUAUGCUAUUCGCCUGAUUAACCCCUCUCGAACGACUGACACGUUCACGAAAGCAGUAAAGCGCCUUCUAGCCCCCUGCGAUUAACUGAGGAACUGCCGAGCUGCGCGAACGAGUGAAUGUAUGUCAUGAAAAACUGCAGCUGAAGCGAAAGAAACCCUUGCAGAUUAUAACCUUUGGUCUAUGGUAUACUCCGCCCGUCGGCUAGUCACCAGCUUCAGAGCAAGCGGGUUUGAGGAUUUGUCGCGUUAAGAUACGAGUGCGCCGCUGCUUUUAGGUUUCUUUCCAGUCUUCCAACAGAGCUGAACUAAGCGUCCUUCGUGCUGAUCAUGUGGUACCGAUGAGUAUUAUCCAGGAAUCGUAUUUUGCCCUAUACGCACUGUUCGUAGCCCGGGUCCCACUUGCGAAAAAGUCAUGGCGCCUUGGAAGGUAGUCUGUCAAACCACCUUGGUUAGAGGACGACUCGCCCUUCGCGCAGAGAUCAAAGUCAUUAUCGUUUGUGAUUUCUAGUUUGUGUUAGUUUUGUUAGUCAGCAGUGCCUAUCUCGUUGUCUCGGGCUCCGCAUAUGAGGCCACUAA
rnacentral:misc_RNA from 1 species